rnacentral:rRNA from 1 species
GUCUGCAGCCAUACCACCCUGAACGUGCCCAAUCUUGUCUGAUCUCGGAAGCUAAGCAGGGUCAGGCCGGGCUAGUGCUUGGAUGGGGGAAGUUAAAGGUGAAAGAGGACGAGAACAUGCUCGGCACCCC